UGUCCAGUAGCACCUUAGAGACCAACUAAGUUUGUUGUUGGUAUGAGCUUUUGUGUGCAUGCACAGAAGGUACUAACAAACUUAGUUGGUCUCUAAGGUGCUACUGGAAG